UACGUAGGGGGCAAGCGUUGUCCGGAUUUAUUGGGCGUAAAGAGCGUGUAGGCGGCUUGGAAGGUCAGCUGUGAAAACUCGAGGCUCAACCUCGAGACGUCGGUUGAAACCACCUGGCUAGAGUCCGGAAGAGGAGAGUGGAAUUCCCGGUGUAGCGGUGAAAUGCGCAGAUAUCGGGGAAGAACACCCGUGGCGAAGGCGGGCUCUCUGGGACGGUACUGACGCUGAGACGCGAAAGCGUGGGGAGCGAACAGG
rnacentral:rRNA from 1 species